GUGCCAGCCGCCGCGGUAAUACGGAGGGUGCAAGCGUUGUUCGGAAUUACUGGGCGUAAAGCGCGUGUAGGCGGUCGCUUAAGUCUGAUGUGAAAGCCCGGGGCUCACCUCCGGAAGAGCAUUGGAAACUGAGCGACUCGAGUGCCGGAGAGGAGGGUGGAAUUCCUGGUGUAGCGGUGAAAUGCGUAGAUAUCAGGAGGAACACCGGUGGCGAAGGCGGCCCUCUGGACGGAUACUGACGCUGAGACGCGAAAGCGUGGGGAGCAAACAGGAUUAGAUACCCCCGUAGUCC
rnacentral:rRNA from 1 species